CGGUUCUUGCUGCGCUCAGAACUGGAAAAAGCAUUUCAAUGCACCUUCCCACAUUUGCAGGAAGAUUAUGUCUUCCCCUCUUUCCAAAGAGCUGAGACAGAACUACAAUGUGCGGUCUAUGCCCAUCUGGAAGGAUGAUGAGGUGCAGGUUGUACGAGGACACUAUAAAGGUCAGCAGAUUGGCAAAGUCGUCCAGGUAUACAGGAAGAAGUAUGUCAUCUACAGUGAAUGGGUACAGUGGG